rnacentral:rRNA from 1 species
UACAGAGGUCUCAACCGUUGUUCGGAUUCAUUGGGCGUAAAGGGUGCGUAGGCGGUCGCGUAAGUCAGGUGUGAAAUCCCGGGGCUCAACCCCGGAACUGCACUUGAUACUGCGUGGCUAGGGUACUGGAGAGGAGACUGGAAUUUACGGUGUAGCAGUGAAAUGCGUAGAUAUCGUAAGGAAGACCAGUGGCGAAGGCGAGUCUCUGGACAGUUACCGACGCUGAGGCACGAAGGCCAGGGGAGCGAACGGG